CCUACGGGUGGCAGCAGUGAGGAAUCUUGGUCAAUGGGAGAGAUCCUGAACCAGCCAAGCCGCGUGAGGGAAGACGGCCCUAUGGGUUGUAAACCUCUUUUGUCGGAGAACAAAACCCGGGACGUGUCCCGGCCUGCGUUUAUCCGAAUAAAAAGCAUCGGCUAACUCCGUGCCAGCAGCCGCGAUAAUACGGAGGUGGCGAGCGUUGUCCGGAAUUACUGGGUGUAAAGGGAGUGUAGGCGGGAAAGCAAGUCAGAGGUGAAAACUAUGGGCUUAACCCGUAGCCUGCCUUUGAAACUGUUUUGCUUGAGUGAAGUAGAGGCGAGCGGAAUGCCUAGUGUAGCGGUGAAAUGCGUAGAUAUUAGGAAGAACACCAGUGGCGAAGGCGGCUUGCUGGGCUUUUACUGACGCUGAGGCUCGAAAGCGUGGGGAGCAAACAGGAUUAGAUACCCUGGUAGUC
rnacentral:rRNA from 1 species